rnacentral:rRNA from 1 species
AGUGAACGCUGGCGGUAGGCCUAACACAUGCAAGUCGAACGGCAGCACAGUAAGAGCUUGCUCUUACGGGUGGCGAGUGGCGGACGGGUGAGGAAUAUAUCGGAAUCUACUCUUUCGUGGGGGAUAACGUAGGGAAACUUACGCUAAUACCGCAUACGACCUACGGGGGAAAGCAGGGGAUCUUCGGACCUUGCGCGGUUGAAUGAGCCGAUGUCGGAUUUGCUAGUUGGCGGGGUAAAGGCCCACCAAGGCGACGAUCCGUAGCUGGUCUGAGAGGACGAGCAGCCAGCCUGGAACUGAGACCCGGCCCAGAGUCCUAGGGGAGGCAGCAGGGGGGAAUAGGGGGGAAGGGGCGGAAGCCUGAUCCAGCCAUACCGCGUGGGGGAGGAAGGCCUCCGGGUUGUAAAGCCCGUUUGUUGGGAUAGAAAAGCAGCAGGUUAAUACCCCGCUGUGCUGACGGUAACCAAAGAAUAAGCACCGGCUAACUUCGUG